GAUGAAGAACGCAGCGAAAUGCGAUAAGUAAUGUGAAUUGCAGAAUUCAGUGAAUCAUCGAAUCUUUGAACGCACAUUGCGCCCCUUGGUAUUCCGAGGGGCAUGCCCGUUCGAGCGUCAUUAUACCCCUCAAGCCUAGCUUGGUGUUGGGGCCUGCUGUUACCGGCAGCCCUUAAAAUCAGUGGCGGUGCCAUCUGGCUCUAAGCGUAGUAAUACUUCUCGCUACAGGGUCCCGGUGGAUGCUUGCCAUCAACCCCUAAUUUUCUAUGGUUGACCUCGGAUCGGGUAGGGGUACCCGCUGAACUUAAGCAUAUCAAUAAGCGGGGA
rnacentral:misc_RNA from 1 species